GAUGAACGCUGGCGGCGUGCCUAAUACAUGCAAGUCGAGCGAAUGGAUUAAGAGCUUGCUCUUAUGAAGUUAGCGGCGGACGGGUGAGUAACACGUGGGUAACCUGCUCAUAAGACUGGGAUAACUCCGGGAAACCGGGGCUAAUACCGGAUAACAUUUUGAACCGCAUGGUUCGAAAUUGAAAGGCGGCUUCGGCUGUCACUCAUGGAUGGACCCGCGUCGCAUUAGCUAGUUGGUGAGGUAACGGCUCACCAAGGCAAAGAUGCGUAGCCGACCUGAGAGGGUGAUCGGCCACACUGGGACUGAGACACGGCCCAGACUCCUACGGGAGGCAGCAGUAGGGAAUCUUCCGCAAUGGACGAAAGUCUGACGGAGCAACGCCGCGUGAGUGAUGAAGGCUUUCGGGUCGUAAAACUCUGUUGUUAGGGAAGAACAAGUGCUAGUUGAAUAAGCUGGCACCUUGACGGUACCUAACCAGAAAGCCACGGCUAACUACGUGCCAGCCGCCGCAGUAA
rnacentral:rRNA from 1 species